rnacentral:rRNA from 1 species
CAUUAAGGAUGGAUCAGGUGGUGAUUUUCAUUUGGAAGGUGGUGCAAUGGUGUUGGCAGAUGGUGGAGUUGUGUGUAUUGAUGAGUUUGAUAAGAUGCGUGUAGCUGAUCGAGUU